UACGAGGGGGGGCAAGCGUUGUUCGGAAUUAUUGGGCGUAAAGCGUGCGUAGACGGUAGCGUAAGUCGGGUGUGAAAGCCCCGGGCUCAACCUGGGAAUUGCAUUCGAGACUGCUCUGCUAGGGUGCGGAAGAGGGAAGCGGAAUUUCCGGUGUAGCGGUGAAAUGCGUAGAUAUCGGGAAGAACACCCGUGGCGAAGGCGGCUCUCUGGGACGGUACUGACGCUGAGGUGCGAAAGCGUGGGGAGCAAACAGG
rnacentral:rRNA from 1 species